UGUAUCUGAAGUCUGACGAGGAUGAGAACCUCCGGGGGCAAGAGGUUCGACUCGAGCGAAGCGAGAGAACGUUGCGCCAG
rnacentral:sRNA from 1 species